rnacentral:rRNA from 1 species
CGUGUAGGCGGUCGGUCAAGUCCGGUGUGAAAGCCCGGGGCUCAGCUCCGGAAGUGCAUCGGAAACUAGCCGACUGGAGCGCGAUAGAGGAGGGUGGAAUUCCUGGUGUAGCGGUGAAAUGCGUAGAUAUCAGGAGGAACACCGGCGGCCGAAGGCGGCCCUCUGGAUCGUUGCUGACGCUGAGACGCGAAAGCGUGGGGAGCAAACAGGAUUAGAUACCCUGGUAGUCCACGCUGUAAACUAUGGGUACUAGGUGUUCGGGGUGUUGACCCCCUGAGUGCCGACGCUAACGCAUUAAGUACCCCGCCUGGGGACUACGGCCGCAAGGCUAAA